CGUGAGGAAGAUGGUUCCAGGCCUUCCAGGCGUUUCUGAGGAGGUCCAAGAGAAAAAGAUUUUAGCCUGGAAAGAUGUCCCCAGCUAGGGAUUCCUUGCAGCUUAACUGCUGCAGGUGACUAAAAAUCACCUGAGGUCCCAUCUUUCUGACAACUUUUACAAUGGACUACAGCCACCUGAACGAGAAGCUGUACCACCUCUACAAGAGUGAAGACUGGGUCCUUACGUUUUAUUGGUGACUUCUUGCUGUUAACAUUUUCCUGUCUUUCUGGACGGCCGCAAGGGCAUGUAGUACAUGGAACCCAUAUUUUGAA